AUUUCUAUGCUGUCUCUUUUGUAAAAGAUGCUAGAGUGGUUCAUGAGUUGAAAGAUUACCUUAAAAGUUGCAAUGCAGACAUUCACGUGAUUGUAAAAAUUGAAAGUGCAGACUCUAUCCCAAAUCUUCAUUCAAUUAUUCCUACAUCUGAUGGGGUUAGUUCCAGUGUCUCUUUGUGAAUCAGUGGUCACUUAUUUAGUCAUAGAUUAUAUCUUUAGUACACCUAUCCACCCUUCAGUGAUCAUUGUUGGUAUCGUACCCCCCUCUCUCUCUCUCAUUAUUUUAUUCAAAACAUUAUCCAAAUCAUUGAGAAGGAUAAGGAAUUACAGAAAAAGAGCUAAACCACAUGUUCAGUUCUGCUAAAGAACAGAAGAAUUCAUAUCUUUUUAUUCAUCAUAUUAACAAGUUUAUUACUAAGCAAUGGUUGCUCGUGGGGACCUUGGAACUGAACUUCCGAUUGAGGAUGUUCCUCUGUUACAGAUUCUGUCAUGAAUGAAAUUUCCUUGUUACGUACAGGAGGACAUAAUUAGAAGGUGUCAGAGAAUGCAGAAACCAGUUAUUGUAGCAACAAACAUGCUGGAGAGCAUGAUUAAUCAUCCUACGCCAACAAGGGCAGAAGUCUCUGACAUUGCAAUUGCAGUACGGGAAGGUGCUGAUGCGGUCAUGCUUUCUAGAGAAACUGCCCACGGAAAGUAAGUUAACUAAUUCAUUUGGCCUUGGGUGGCCUCUUAAUAUAUUUUCAAUGUGCAAUGGCUAUUGAAAAAGUAUUAUCAAAACUCAAUAAAUAUGUUUGUUUUCUAAAUUUUUUGCUUUCUUUGUAGUAAUGUGUAUCCCACAAAAAUAAUUAUAGUAGUAU